CGGGUGAGUAACGCGUGAGGAACCUGCCUCAAAGAGGGGACGAACAAUUGGAAACGACUGCUAAUACCGCAUAAGCCCACGGCUCGGCAUCGAGCAGAGGGAAAAGGAGUGAUCCGCUUUGAGAUGGCCUCGCGUCCGAUUAGCUGGUUGGUGAGGUAAUGGCCCACCAAGGCGACGAUCGGUAGCCGGACUGAGAGGUUGAACGGCCACAUUGGGACUGAGACACGGCCCAG
rnacentral:rRNA from 1 species